rnacentral:rRNA from 1 species
GAUGAACGCUGGCGGCGUGCCUAAUACAUGCAAGUCGAGCGAACAGACGAGGAGCUUGCUCCUCUGACGUUAGCGGCGGACGGGUGAGUAACACGUGGAUAACCUACCUAUAAGACUGGGAUAACUUUGGGAAACCGGAGCUAAUACCGGAUAAUAUAUUGAACCGCAUGGUUCAAUAGUGAAAGACGGUUUUGCUGUCACUUAUAGAUGGAUCCGCGCCGCAUUAGCUAGUUGGUAAGGUAACGGCUUACCGAGGCAACGAUGCGUAGCCGACCUGAGAGGGUGAUCGGCCACACUGGAACUGAGACACGGUCCAGACUCCUACGGGAGGCAGCAGUAGGGAAUCUUCCGCAAUGGGCGAAAGCCUGACGGAGCAACGCCGCGUGAGUGAUGAAGGUCUUCGGAUCGUAAAACUCUGUUAUUAGGGAAGAACAAAUGUGUAAGUAACUAUGCACGUCUUGACGGUACCUAAUCAGAAAGCCACGGCUAACUACGUG